UACGAAGGGUGCAAGCGUUACUCGGAAUUACUGGGCGUAAAGCGUGCGUAGGUGGUUUUUUAAGUCCGUUGUGAAAGCCCUGGGCUCAACCUGGGAAUGGCAGUGGAUACUGGAAAGCUAGAGUGCGGUAGAGGGUAGUGGAAUUCCCGGUGUAGCAGUGAAAUUCGUAGAUAUCGGGAGGAACACCAGUGGCGAAGGCGGCGAUCUGGGCCAAUACUGACGCUGAGGUGCGAAAGCGUGGGGAGCAAACAGG
rnacentral:rRNA from 1 species